GACGAACCGUGCGAACGUUAUUCGGAAUCACUGGGCUUAAAGCGCGUGUAGGCGGGUGGGAACGUCGGCCGCUGAAAUCCCCCGGCUCAACCGGGGAAGGGGCGCCGAAACGGCCCGUCUGGAGGGACGUAGGGGGAGCUGGAACUUCCGGUGGAGCGGUGAAAUGCGUUGAGAUCGGAAGGAACGCCCGUGGCGAAAGCGAGCUCCUGGACGUUUUCUGACGCUGAGACGCGAAAGCCAGGGGAGCGAACGGG
rnacentral:rRNA from 1 species